UACGUAGGGACCAAGCGUUGUCCGGAAUCACUGGGCGUAAAGGGCGCGUAGGUGGUGGCUUAAGCGUGCGGUGAAAGCUCGGAGCUCAACUCCGAGUCGGCCGUGCGAACUGGGCUCACUGGAGCAUAGUAGAGGCAGGUGGAAUUCCGGGUGUAGCGGUGGAAUGCGUAGAGAUCCGGAAGAACACCGGUGGCGAAGGCGGCCUGCUGGGCUAUGGCUGACACUGAGGCGCGACAGCGUGGGGAGCAAACAGGG
rnacentral:rRNA from 1 species